rnacentral:tRNA from 3 species
UAGCCCGUGGUGUAAUUGGUAGCACAACAGAUUCUGGUUCUGUUUGUCGGGGUUCAAGUCCCUGCGGGCUAG